AACUUUUAAAAUUUUAAUCAAAUGAAAAUAAAUAUUUUACUUCUUCUCAGGUAUAAGUUCUGCAUUGCGCAAGAAAGUUAAAAGCUUGAUUUUCACUAUUUUAACUACAGGUUGUCCUUAUUUAAACUGUUUUUUUUUUCAAAACAAAAACCUGAAAAUAGUAUUGAACUAAAGCUCACGAAAAUGGACUUGAGUGUUGGCAUUAACAAUAGUCCUGAAAAAAUGGUUGCUCCAUCUAUAACUCAAGAAAGUAGAGUUCUGCUGUUACACCUACUAUUACUGUUGUAAGUACUCAAAAUUUCAGGAAGUUCUGUUGCUGUAAGUUAUUU